ensembl:lncRNA
AGGGGCCUGGGGUCGGUUCAGGGAGUCUGGGGAGUCUGGUGGGUUUGGGAGUCCUGGGGUCGGGGGCACCUUGGUGAGUCUGAGGGGCCUCGGGGACCCUGCAGGAUCUGGGGGACCCACCUGGUGUGGGGUAACCCAGGGAGGUCUGGGGUCCUUCAAAGGAAUCUGGUGGGUUUGAGGGCUGCAGUUGAAUUUUGCAGGGUGUGAAGGGUCCAGGGGACCCUAUAUGGGGUGGGGAGACCCAGCAGGGUCUGGGGAAUCCGAUGGGCUGGAACCCAAUGGAUUUGGGGGUCCCAGAGGGAUCCUGCAGGGUGGGGAGGUCCGGGGACACGUCUGGGGUUGUUCUGAGGGGUCCACUGGGAUGGGACCCAGGGGGCUGGAAGGGCUUAAGCAUCCUUGAGGGUGCCAGGGAGAUCCUGCAGGGUCCUGGGGACUCUGUGGGGUGGGGGUACCCAGCAGGGUCUGGGCACCCCAGCAGUGGCCCAAGGGGUCUGAUGGGGGGAGGCUUUGGGGUAUUUGGGUUCCACAGGGGACCUUGUGGUAUUAGGGCACUCCAGGGGACCCAGCAGGGUCUGGGGACCUUGGGGUGCCCUGAGGGAUUUGGUGGGGAGAGCAUCCCCGAGGACUGCAGUGCUCGGAGGACCCUGCGGGGUCAGGGUCCAGGUGAACUGGCAGACUGGGGGGGACACAAUGAGAUUGGGGGACCCAGCAGGACCUGGGAACCUCCCCGGGACUGGGAGACCCUUCAGAGUCUGGGAUCCCUGGAGGAUCUUGCCAGGUUUGGGGGUGUUUAUGGAGGAAUCUGCUGCCAGCGCCCCCANNNNNNNNNNNNNNNNNNNNNNNNNNNNCGGGGCUCGGGAUCCGCCGGCACCGGUCACCCCCGGCGAGCGAGUUUGGGGCUGCUCCAUGACUGACCAAACCACGCGGGGACACUGAAAGCUCUCGGUGCUUCCAGCAGCGUCCUUGGGGACACCCAAAGUCACCUGCGGGCAGAGCCGGUCGCUGCGGGCUGGCAGGAAGGUACGAGGAGGAGGAGGAGGAGAUGGGCUCGAGAUGAAGGAUCCGUGUCCGGGGUGAAGGACUUCUCUCCGGGUGAAGAUUCCUGUCCGGGAUCAAGGAUCCCUGUUCGGGGUGAAGGAUCUCCCUCCGGGAUGCAGCAUUCCCCUCCGGGAUGAAGGAUCCGUGUCCGGGGUGAAGGAUCCGUGUCCGGGGUGAAGGACUUCUCUCCGGGUGAAGGAUCCGUGUCCGGGAUGAAGGAUCCGUGUCCAGGGUGAAGGAUCUCCCUCCGGGAUGAAGGAUCUCCCUCCGGACUGAAAGCCUGUGCAGGGCCCUGGUGCCGCUGUCCCCGCCGCUGUCCCCGAGCCCGGAGCCGGCCUCAGGACGGACGCUCGGACGGGAUGGAGCCGGCCCGUCCCCGCCGGGAAUGGCAGAGGUUCGGCAGAGCUUCCAGCCCCGCGCUCCGCUCCCGCUCCGUCCCCCGCCGCCGCCGCCCCGGUGACCGUGACCGUCCCUCGCCGAGCCAGCAGCUCCCGCUCCGCCGUGCCGAGCUUCCGCAGCGCCGCUCCCCACAAGCUGCAUGAACACCCCGGGAAACCUAAGUCCCUCCGCUAUUUAUUUAUUUAAAUUUAAAAAAACCAAACCCCUGGGUUUGGGUUGGGGUGGGGGGAAAGGGCUCACUAAACCCCUGCUAUUUAUUUAUUUAUUUAUUUGAAUUUUAAAAAACCAAAACUUGGGUUUGGGCAGGGGUGGGGAGAUUUCACUGACCCCGUGCUAUUUAUUUAUUUAUGUAAAUUAAAAAUCCAGAACUCUGGGUUUAGGCUGGGGUGGGGGAGAUUUCACUGACCCCGUGCUAUUAAUUAAUUAAUUAAUGUAUUUAUUUAUGUAAAAUUAAAAAUCCAAAACCCCGGGUUUGGG